AUUGAACGCUGGCGGAAUGCUUUACACAUGCAAGUCGAACGGCAGCACGGGUGCUUGCACCUGGUGGCGAGUGGCGAACGGGUGAGUAAUAUAUCGGGACGUACCCAGUAAUGGGGGAUAACUAACCGAAAGGUUAGCUAAUACCGCAUACGCCCUGAGGGGGAAAGCGGGGGAUCGAAAGACCUCGCGUUAUUGGAGCGGCCGAUAUCUGAUUAGCUAGUUGGUGAGGUAAAGGCUCACCAAGGCGACGAUCCGUAGCUGGUCUGAGAGGAUGAUCAGCCACACUGGAACUGAGACACGGUCCAGACUCCUACGGGAGGCAGCAGUGGGGAAUAUUGGACAAUGGGCGCAAGCCUGAUCCAGCAAUGCCGCGUGUGUGAAGAAGGCCUUCGGGUUGUAAAGCACUUUUAUCAGGAACGAAAAGCGUUGGAUUAAUACUCUGACGUGCUGACGGUACCUGAGGAAUAAGCACCGGCUAACUUCGUGCCAGCAGCCGCAGUAACAC
rnacentral:rRNA from 1 species